GACGAACGCUGGCGGCGUGCUUAACACAUGCAAGUCGAGCGGAAAGGCCCUUCGGGGUACUCGAGCGGCGAACGGGUGAGUAACACGUGAGUAACCUGCCCCAGACUUUGGGAUAACCCUCGGAAACGGGGGCUAAUACCGGAUACGACACAGCUUCGCAUGGGGUCUGUGUGGAAAGUUUUUCGGUUUGGGAUGGGCUCGCGGCCUAUCAGCUUGUUGGUGGGGUGAUGGCCUACCAAGGCGACGACGGGUAGCCGGCCUGAGAGGGCGACCGGCCACACUGGGACUGAGACACGGCCCAGACUCCUACGGGAGGCAGCAGUGGGGAAUAUUGCACAAUGGGCGGAAGCCUGAUGCAGCGACGCCGCGUGAGGGAUGACGGCCUUCGGGUUGUAAACCUCUUUCAGCAGGGACGAAGCGUAAGUGACGGUACCUGCAGAAGAAGCGCCGGCCAACUGCGUG
rnacentral:rRNA from 1 species